GCAAACUUGGUCAUUUAGAGGAAGUAAAAGUCGUAACAAGGUUUCCGUAGGUGAACCUGCGGAAGGAUCAUUAUCGAUUGAUAACAAUCAUCAUAAACCAUGUGUGCAGUUAUUGAGAAAUCGAAAAGAGGGGGAAGUUUUUCCCUCUUUUUUUUUUAUUCUUCACAUAAUUAUAUUUGUCGUUAUAAUAUUUUUAAAUAAAACAAAAAAAACUUUCAACAACGGAUCUCUUGGCUCUCGCAUCGAUGAAGAACGCAGC
rnacentral:misc_RNA from 1 species